UGGCCCGAAUGUAAAGCGGGCCUAAACCGAUCCAUCAAGAAUGUUGUGGAACCUAAUCUAUUAUAACCCAUUUGCAAUUGUAGUUGAAACCCUAAUUUUACAUCGCAAUUCUGCCCCAUUUGUUUUCUCGACAAGAUCUCAAACAACUUUAUCACUAUGAAUUCUGCAAACUAUUUGUCAAUUUGUAAACCCUACAACUCAACUCUUCAGAUCUUGGAUUCUUCUCAACUAGCCUUUUACAAUCAGUGAUUAGUGAUUGUUCAUUGUUAUAAGUCUGUUCCUAAAGUUUCUGUCACUUCGAAGACGAAGACGAGCAAGUGCGUUCCUGGAAUAUUGGAGUGUUUACAAAUCUGGUUAGUCAACACGGAUACAAUUCAAAUUCUUUUGUUGAUGAUGAUGCAUGUACAGAAUUUGUUUUGGAAUUAGUGCAGAUUUUAUCCACUGAGCAGGAGUCUUAUGCAUUCUCAAAUUAAAGGUUUGCACAUUCAAAUGUCUUGAAGAAUGGAGCUUCAUUACUAAAAGUAAACUAAAUGGAGACACAUGGCACUUUAUAAGGUGCUAUAUGUGGUAUAUUCCCGCCUAAAAUAACCGGGGUUAUGUAAAUCGGGUCAUGUGGUGAUCCAUGACCCGUAUCUCAUUCAAAACAAAAACUUCGUAUUAUCCUAAACCUAAUCUUCUUCACCCCCCCCCACCAAUCUUCUCCACCGCGUCUACCACAUCACCGACACACCCCCAUUUCCCUCUCCCAAACACCCUAUUGGCGAUUCUACCUGUAUAUGCGCCGCGUUCUUCCGUUGCAAUUUGAUAAUGGAAAUAAGUUUUGUGGGAGAUUAAUCUACAUGUUUUGGUAAGUUCUGAUCUGUUAUUUUGUUUUUGCGAUGCUAUUGUAGGUUGAAUGUGUAAGCAUAGUCAUUCAAAAUCGUUAAUAUUCGUGUUGUGUUUUCUGAUAUAAAGAUUGUUAUUCACAUCUUCAAUUUUUUACUUUAAUCAUUGUAAUAUUAUAAACAAUUCAAUAAGCUUUUAUUGGUAUGUGUAAAUUGUGUUUUCUCACUAAUCGAUUCUAUUUAUCUCCUUCAAAGUAUAUGUAAUUUGUAUGCAUUUGUUCAUGUAAUAAACCCCUAAUUUACGAUAUAGUUUCAUGUUUGGUUUUGGGUCCACAAUCACUGUUAGACCUUUAUAUGCCCUUACACAAAUAUGUUGUAUAUACCUAUGAAAAUAACAUGCAAAUUGAGAUAUCACAGUCAUCGUUUAAGCCCUUCUUUAAUAGGGUUAGUUUCACACAAAUGGUAUCCUGCUAUUGAAUUUUGUUUAAGCCAUUCUUUACAUUAGAUUUUUAAGUGCAACAAGUUUCUUUUAUACCAUAAAGAGAGUCAAAUGUCUUUGAACAAAUUCAAGGAAUUUUCUUUGGGUUUUCAGUUUAUUUAAAGUGCUUGGAACCCGCACACAAUGAUGAUAAUUAUUUGGCGUAUGGUAUUCAGUUGCUCUCUAGGACACUACACUAUAAAUUAUAGGACUUUUAGUGAGAAAAAUCCACCAUCGUUCUUUUGGUAAAGGUAUAAUAAGUUGGUAAUCGAUAGGUGAAGGGCCAUAGGAAAACUUUGUGUAGAGAAUGGUUUAAGCGGUCACUGGUGGAUAUUUAGCGAGUUCCCCCUCAGUCCUACACGGAGACGAGUAAGGAAGCCAAAACAUAUUAGGAAGAAUAACGGAUAUCUUCAAACCACCACUUGCCACUAUUCACAAUCCCUCCGUUCAUUCACCACCUUUUACGACACCUCCAUUCUCUCUAACUCUACUACUAACUUACACUUUUUCUGUCUACCAAAUGAACCAUCCCCACUUGAAAAGAAAAGGCGUUUAGUACGUCUAGGUCAAAAACCUUUUAGCAUUAGUGAGUCUGCAUGUUUGGUCGUGAAUUGCAAUGGAUUGUUUGUAUAGCGCACUUUCAUCUUCUUUUGAACAUGAUAACGACAAUAACAAUACUAAUAAUCGCCGUCGCCACGGUACCAGCUCUAUGAACAACCACCAUAAUGGCGUCCCUUCCCGCCCUGUCUCCUCGACACACACUUUGCCUCUUCCUGAACCAAAAGCACCAUUCAAAUGCCGUGAACACAUUCUCCCCUCGCCUGAAGAAGCUCAUAAGAAAAUUUCUGAAAAAGGCCGGACCAAUCACAUCUAUUCAAAGAGACCUCCAGGGUGACCCCUCUUACUUCCUUUCUGUAUCUGUUUCUGGGCUUUGCAAAACAUAUCUUUUCAACUCUUUUCCUUUGCAAUUUUUACCAGUCAUUGUGAUCAUUGGUUUAACCAACAUCUAUGUCCCUUAUCCCGGUUGGUCCUGAUCUUAGAGAGUAACAUUCAAUUUAUAUCUGUUCCCGUUGCUUCUUUUAGAAUCAGCAGCAAUGUCAUCUCGAGUGGUUCUCAAGUUGAAACCGAAAAUUUAUUAAUGUACACGUUGAUACUGAACUUCGGUUCGUAACUGUCGGAUAUAAAGGUACACCGAAAAUUUAUUAGAGACCAAAAGGGACGGAUAUAGAUAUUAAAUCAGCAAUCGCAAUGGUGGGUAGAAAACGCUAAGGAAAAGAGAAAGAACUGAUGUUUGCAAAGUCUUGAAACAAAUACAUAAAGAAGUCACAAAAAGGAUGGGCAUGAGAUCAGGUACUUAGUGUACACCGCCCCUUGUAUUAUUGACCGCAGUCACUUCAACUCUUAUCGUUGCGGACGUGGAAAUGAUGAAGUAGAUCAUUUGUAAUCUUAUUUACCAUUUUACGUAUACAAUCAUAAAUUUAUUCAGUUACAUAACUACAAACUUAUGUUAUUAGUGUAAUAGUAUGCUCCAAUGUUGUGUACAAUGGAAUAUUUAGAGAUAUUUGAACUAUUUGUGUGUUUUUUUAA